GACGAACGCUGGCGGCGUGCCUAAUACAUGCAAGUAGAACGCUGAAGGAGGAGCUUGCUUCUCUGGAUGAGUUGCGAACGGGUGAGUAACGCGUAGGUAACCUGCCUGGUAGCGGGGGAUAACUAUUGGAAACGAUAGCUAAUACCGCAUAACAGUAGAUAUUGCAUGAUAUCUGCUUGAAAGGUGCAAUUGCAUCACUACCAGAUGGACCUGCGUUGUAUUAGCUAGUUGGUGAGGUAACGGCUCACCAAGGCGACGAUACAUAGCCGACCUGAGAGGGUGAUCGGCCACACUGGGACUGAGACACGGCCCAGACUCCUACGGGAGGCAGCAGUAGGGAAUCUUCGGCAAUGGACGGAAGUCUGACCGAGCAACGCCGCGUGAGUGAAGAAGGUUUUCGGAUCGUAAAGCUCUGUUGUAAGAGAAGAGCGAGUGUGAGAGUGGAAAGUUCACACUGUGACGGUAUCUUACCAGAAAGGGACGGCUAACUACGUGCCAGCAGCCGCGGUAAUACGUAGGUCCCGAGCGUUGUCCGGAUUUAUUGGGCGUAAAGCGAGCGCAGGCGGUUAGAUAAGUCUGAAGUUAAAGGCUGUGGCUUAACCAUAGUACGCUUUGGAAACUGUUUAACUUGAGUGCAAGAGGGGAGAGUGGAAUUCCAUGUGUAGCGGUGAAAUGCGUAGAUAUAUGGAGGAACGCCGGUGGCGAAAGCGGCUCUCUGGCUUGUAACUGACGCUGAGGCUCGAAAGCGUGGGGAGCAAACAGG
rnacentral:rRNA from 1 species